AUCCACUUAGGAGGUGUGAAAGUUCUCAUUCUUCUGCACGUGAUAACCGUCGUCAGAGAUCAAGGUCUCCUCGAGAUUGCAGUGGCCUUGUGACUCCAACUUCUACCAUUGUGGUGAAGGGCUUGCCAAAAGAGGCAACAGAGGAAAUGAUUUAUCGGAUCCUAGCAGAGUGGAGGCCCCUUCCCAAUAUCCGAGUGAUGCCGAAAAAGAAUACUACUUUCUGCCGUGGAAUCGCAUUCGUUGAUUUUCCGUCUGUGGUAGCGGCUCGGAAAUUGAUGGAUGAAAUUGGAGACCGCGGCCUCGAUGUCAAUGGGCGUAAGCUGUCUUUUGAUUACAGACUAGGUAAAUCAGAAUUGGCUAACGAAGUUCCGAUUGUAAAUGCUGGAAUCGGUGAAUCAGAAGUGGCCGGAGAACACAAAGAUGAAAAUGAUAGUGAAGAUGAUGAAGAAGAUUGUGAUUAUGUAGAUGAAGUGGCCUCGGAAAGGCUACCAGAUUCUUGGGACCAUGAAGAAAUACAUAUGCUAAGGGAAGCCUUUCAUUAUCUUGUAAAAGAUGGUAAGAAGAAACCAUGUAAGGAAAUGUUGGAAUAUGGACAUGAUGUCUUCCAUGCUGGUCGUACCAACGAGGAUCUAAGGUCAAAGUGGAAGUAUAUGGUGAAUCACGGCCAAUGGUAAGGACGUUUUUUUUUGUUUUUUUCCUCAUUUAAAUGGAAUCUAAUCUAAACGACAGAAUCGGCACAACCGUCGUCUUCUUUUGGCUUUGGAGGAAGAUGGGUGGAUUAAAGUAUUUUGAAACUUUUUGCUUAAUAGCCUGUCUGCAAGAGUAGUGAAGGUGUCUCCUUGGCUCACAAAGAGUAGUGAAGGUGUCUGGUAGUGGAAUGGGUCAGAACUAUUUGAUUUAUUGAUCGCUAGUCGGGGGUUCCUGGUGAAUUUUUUGAAUUGGAAUUGUUGUUUGUUAUGGUAUAUCCAGUUCUUAGUGCACACAAGUGAUUCCCUGGUGUAAAACAGAGACACCAGUACAUAAAACAGAGUAGAGAAUGCAAUUUGCGCAAAAGUAAUUCGAAGUUUGUUUUUGAAUAAAACUGCUGACAACAAUCACCUUCUCAAAAUCAUUGUCCUUGAAGCAUCAGCAACUAAAGGUUCAUUCUUAGCUAGCUAAUUGAGUUGAGGCAGCCGCUAAGAACUUCUUCGCGCAAUAGCUGACAUAUAACGUACAUCUGUAACAUCUCACAGGCCGAAGACACAUAGGUUUGGUGAGCCCAGUAAAAGACCCACCCAAGGAGAGAUAGAUAGAUAGAUAGAAUAGACGAAGCUCAUGGAAACUCUGGUUGUUUUGAGUCUGAGGGGUUGCUGCUGGAGAGGGAGGAACUUGGAAGCCAUGAUAUAGCAAACCCCCCUUAGAUCUAGCUACUUUCAGAUUUUGAAAAAAGGCACUUCACCGAUCAAACAAAAAUGGCACUUAGUUCACAAUUGGGUGCUGAUGUUAACCAUUAAGCACAUGGUAGACCACCACUCAGUUUUAUCGAAUUGAUAGGUGCACUGCUCAGUUUCGGAAAUUGAGCGGUGCAAUGGCAGGCCACCACUUCGUUCCGCAGAAUGAGUGUGCACUGCUCAGUCCCGGGUACUGAGCGGUGCAAUGGCAGGUCACCGUCAGUUCCUAAAACUGAGAGGUGCAAAGCUAUGUGUCUAAUGGAGAACGUCACACUUAAUGGAACUGAGCAGCUUCCGGACAAAUGAAACUAUUGGAAAACAGCAAGGCAGUGAUACUCCCUAUGUAGUUCAGCUACAGCUGCUGGAACAUAGCUAAGUCUGAUUCUUGGGUAACGUUUCAAUGAAAAUAGCCCUAUUUAGCUUUUGUUAUAUUGCUGACUUUGGUACUCUGCUAGUAUAUUUAGGUGCACAUUCUUAACACUCUCAAUGUAUACUUAAAUUGCCCUUAUACUUCUAGAAUGCCUGAGUUUCUUUUUUGCUUGGUACAUGUCAUUUUGUUCAAGGUUUCUGCCCCUUCUUCUGAUGAUAUUUGUUUCUAACUUGAGUGUUGCUUUUGUUUUUGUUUUUUGCAGGUCUUGCCUUUGCAUUCCUAACUGGUUGUCUUUGUUUUGCAGGAGAGAUAGAUAGAUAGAUAGAAUAGACGAAGCUCAUGGAAACUCUGGUUGUUUUGAGUCUGAGGGGUUGCUGCUGGAGAGGGAGGAACUUGGAAGCCAUGAUAUAGCAAACCCCCCUUAGAUCUAGCUACUUUCAGAUUUUGAAAAAAGGCACUUCACCGAUCAAAAAAAAUGGCACUUAGUUCACAUUUGGGUGCUGAUGUUAACCAUUAAGCACAUGGUAGACCACCACUCAGUUUUAUCGAAUUGAUAGGUGCACUGCUCAGUUUCGGAAAUUGAGCGGUGCAAUGGCAGGCCACCACUUCGUUCCGCAGAAUGAGUGUGCACUGCUCAGUCCCGGGUACUGAGCGGUGCAAUGGCAGGUCACCGUCAGUUCCUAAAACUGAGAGGUGCAAAGCUAUGUGUCUAAUGGAGAACGUCACACUUAAUGGAACUGAGCAGCUUCCGGACAAAUGAAACUAUUGGAAAACAGGUAAAUGAGCUUUUCUUUUCCUCCUGUUUUUUUGUUUUUUUUGUUUUUUUAUUUGUCGUUUUUCUUUCUUAUUUUAUUGAAAUCAAUGUUGGAAAUUUGGUACACAGCAAGGCAGUGAUACUCCCUAUGUAGUUCAGCUACAGCUGCUGGAACAUAGCUAAGUCUGAUUCUUGGGUAACGUUUCAAUGAAAAUAGCCCUAUUUAGCUUUUGUUAUAUUGCUGACUUUGGUACUCUGCUAGUAUAUUUAGGUGCACAUUCUUAACACUCUCAAUGUAUACUUAAAUUGCCCUUAUAUUUCUAGAAUGCCUGAGUUUCUUUUUUGCUUGGUACAUGUCUAUCAUUUUGUUCAAGGUUUCUGCCCCUUCUUCCGAUGACUGUCAGGUCAGUACAUUUUUGCCUUAACAAAGAUAUUUGUUGCUAACUUGAGUGUUGCUUUUGUUUUUGUUUUUUGCAGGUCUUGCCUUUGCAUUCCUAACUCUAACUCUAUGUUUAUUAACACUUAUGAUCAUGUUUAUUAUGUUUUGCAUAAAAUUGUUUCUAACUUGAUCAUUGGAGUAUCUGUUUUUUUUUUUUGCAGGUCUCGCCUUUGUAUUCCUAACUCUAACUCCAUGUUUAUUAACCCUAACUCUACUUUUAUUAUGUUUUGCAUAAAAUUGUUUCUACCUUGAGCGUUGGAGUAUCUUUGUAGUUUUUUGCAGGUCUUGGCUUUGUAUUCCUAACUCUAACUCUACGUUUAUUAUGUUUUGCACAAAAUUGUUUCUAACUUGAGCCUUGGAGUGUCUUUAUUGUUUUUUUGCAGGUCUUGGCUUUGUAUUCCUAACUCUAACUCUAUGUUUAUUAUGUUUUGCAUAAAAUUGUUUCUAACUUGAGCGUUGGAUUAUGUUUAUUGUUUUUUUGCAGGUCUUGGCUUUGUAUUCCUAACUCUAACUCUAUAUUUAUUACGUUUUGCAUAAAAUUGUUUCUAACUUGAGUGUUGGAGUAUCUUUAUUGUUUAAUGCAGGUCUUGGUUUUGUAUUCCUAACUCUAACUCUACGUUUAUUAUGUUUUGCAUAAAAUUGUUUCUAACUUGAGUGUUGGAGUAUCUUUAUUGUUUUUUUGCAGGUCUUGGCUUUGUAUUCCUAACUCUAACUCUAUGUUUAUUAUGUUUUGCAUAAAAUUGUUUCUAACUUGAGCCUUGGAGUAUCUUUAUUGUUUUUUGCAGGUCUUGGCUUUGUAUUCCUAACUCUAACUCUAUGUUUAUUAACCCUUAACUCUAUGUUUAUUAUGUUUUGCAUAAAACUGUUUCUAACUUGAGCGUCGGAGUAUCUUCCUUGUUUUUUUGCAGGUCUUGCCUUUGUAUUCCUAUGGCCAAUUCAAUUAGUAGAGUUAUUGAAAUGGAAUGCUGGUACCUCGCGGGGAACAUCAUCUGUUUGGCUUUUGAUCAGUUUGCCUGCUCUAGGGUAUGUCUGACUUUAAAGGAUACAAAUGAAGACAGAUCAGUCCUGUGAAUCAUGUACUAGUGAGAUCCUCCUCUUCCCUGAAGGAGGCUGCAUUUUAACUCAAAAGGUCUUGUCUGCUUAUUGGGUGGCCACUCGCCAGGGAGAACUUGUAAUGUGGAAUGCUGGUGCCUGGUAGAGAAUGCCUGACAUUUGACCAGUCUGUUGUCAAGGCUUAAUAUGCAAAAGACGUGCCAGGAGAUUUAGCAGGAUGUGAAAAGCGCAGGAUGUGAAAAGUGCAAUGAUGCGGUGAGACUUGAUAAGCCUGGUGGUCCGUUGAGAGAUAAAAAUGAACAAUUGGUGGUUCCAGAGGUUCUUUGCCUUGCGUAGUUUUUCCUGAUGAAGCUCCGAGCAACAUUGUGAGUAAGCAGGGUAGUGAAAGUAGAAACGAAUCUGAAGGCAAUGUCACUAAAGAGAUGCAAACUUAUUGGUAAAAUUGAUGAGGAUAUAUCCGCCACGAAUUCUGUUGUGGUUCACGCGAAGCUGACAUCAUGCCUUUCUGCUGCAAUCUCCUUGACUCCAUCAUCAAUAGUGAAUGAGAAUUAGAUGGAAUAGUGGUUGUAAAUUCUGACUGAGGAUGAUGUUGUGCCUGAAGAUAUGGUCCAAAAUUGAUGUUGAGGUGCUUCUCAUGUGCAGGAGAAGGCAGGCCGUAUUUUAAGAAUAUGGACCGUUUUUGUAGAAGUUUUAGGAUGUUUUUGAACAACGCCAAGUUUAUUAUUACGUAGUUACUGUCAUUCUUUCUUUCUUGUAAAGAUGCGAUGUGAUGCGAAUAUAUGUAUGUUUUUUUUUAGCAGUAAUGUUAAACAUUUUGCUUUGGAGAUUCAACA